rnacentral:miRNA from 1 species
GAGGUGGGAGGAUUGCUUGAGCCCAGAGUUUGAGGCUGCAGUGAACCAUGAUCACACCACUGCACUCUAGCCUGAGUGACAGAGCAAGACCUUGUCUCA